rnacentral:rRNA from 1 species
GACGAACGCUGGCGGCGUGCUUAACACAUGCAAGUCGAACGAUGAAGCCCAGCUUGCUGGGUGGAUUAGUGGCGAACGGGUGAGUAACACGUGAGCAACCUGCCCCUGACUCUGGGAUAAGCGCUGGAAACGGCGUCUAAUACUGGAUACGAGUAGCGGCCGCAUGGUCAGUUACUGGAAAGAUUUUUUGGUUGGGGAUGGGCUCGCGGCCUAUCAGCUUGUUGGUGAGGUAAUGGCUCACCAAGGCGUCGACGGGUAGCCGGCCUGAGAGGGUGACCGGCCACACUGGGACUGAGACACGGCCCAGACUCCUACGGGAGGCAGCAGUGGGGAAUAUUGCACAAUGGGCGCAAGCCUAAUGCAGCAACGCCGCGUGCGGGAUGACGGCCUUCGGGUUGUAAACCGCUUUUAGUAGGGAAGAAGCCUUCGGGUGACGGUACCUGCAGAAAAAGGACCGGCUAACUACGUGCCAGCCGCCGCGGUAACAC